rnacentral:rRNA from 1 species
AGAGUUUGAUCAUGGCUCAGGACGAACGCUGGCGGCGCGCCUAACACAUGCAAGUCGAACGAGAGGAGAGGGAGCUUGCUUCCUUGAUCGAGUGGCGAACGGGUGAGUAACGCGUGAGGAACCUGCCUCAAAGAGGGGGACAACAGUUGGAAACGACUGCUAAUACCGCAUAAGCCCACGGCUCGGCAUCGAGCAGAGGGAAAAGGAGCAAUCCGCUUUGAGAUGGCCUCGGCGUCCGAUUAGCUAGUUGGUGAGGUAACGGCCCGACCAAGGCGACGAUCGGUAGCCGGACUGGAGAGGUUGAACGGCCACCAUUGGGACUGAGACACGGCCCAGACUCCUACGGGAGGCAGCA